UUCCCGUACGAUCAUCAAAGUUAAGCAACAUCGAGCCUGGUCAGUACCUAGAUGGGUGACUGCUUGGGAAUACCAUGUGUUGUAAG